CCUGGCGACAGAGUGAGACUCCGUCUCAAAAAAAAAAAAAAAGAAUACACUUGCCAGUGUCCCUUGCAGGUAGGGCUGGCUAUGUGACCAAGUUUUGGACAAUAAGAAGCAGAAAUGACAGGAGAAACUUCUAGGUCAUUUCUUAGGAGGGGGUCUGCCGCUCCUUCAUCAUGCUGUUUGGAACCUAGACACGAUGGUAGGAAGCCAUCUCGGACAGUGCAGACAAGGGUGAUACCGUGGCAGAGUGGAGCACCAAGCUAGAAGGAUCCUGGAUCCCUGGACAACUCAUGGAGCCAAGCCACCAUGCCCAUCCACGACUACCUCCUCCCAGCUGCUCUGGGAGGGAGAGACAAACCUGCUCCUUGCGCUCACCAUGAUUUUGGACUCUGUUUCAUGAACCCAAAGCUGUAGCCUACCUAGUUCAGUAGUGUAUUGGGAUGGGGCACCUUUGCAUUUUGGACUAUUGUAAGAAUUGAAUUACAUAUAUGUGCUAUUCUGCAACUUUCUUUUUCACUCAACUUUGUCACACUUAAAUUUCUUUUUUUGUCUUUUUUUUUUCCUUUUUGUGGAGAACGGGGUCUCACUGUAUUGCCCAGGCAGGUCUCGAACUCCUGGGCUCAAGCCGUCUUCCUGCCUCUGCCUCCCUGAGAGCUGGGAUUACAGGCAUGAGCCACCACACCCGGCCAGUUCAACUUUGUUCACAAGAAUUGCCAUCAUGUUGCAUGUGCUCUGAGUCUCAUUCUUGCUGCUCUGUGGAACUCCGUUACUUAAAUAGCCCAGAUCCGCAUCCAUUCUCCUGCCGAGGGCACCUGAGUUGUGUCCAGUCACUUGCCUCAGAGACAGUGAUCCAGUGAACAGAUUUGUCUCCUGAACGUGUGUUUGUUCAAGUCUCUCUAGGGUAAACACCUACAAGUGGAACUGCAGAGUAUGCGUAUGCAUACCUAAAUGACUUUACUAGAUCUUGCCAAAUUGCUCUUCAAAGUAGCUAUAAGAGCUCUUCCUGGUUUACAGCAAAGCCGUUCUGAGGAAUUUCGGUGCUCGAUAAUAACCAACUCUGUGUCCUUCGAUGCGGGUUUGAUGUCUCCUCAUUGCUGUAGUUUUUCAUUAAACAAAUUACCACAAACUAA